UACGUAGGGGACCAGCGUUGUCCGGAUUUACUGGGCGUAAAGAGCGCGCAGGCGGUCGGUCAAGUCGAGUGUGAAAGCCCCCGGCUCAACUGGGGAGGGUCAUUCGAUACUGAUCGACUUGAAGGCGGGAGAGGGAAGUGGAAUUCCCGGUGUAGUGGUGAAAUGCGUAGAUAUCGGGAGGAACACCAGUUGCGAAGGCGACUUCCUGGCCUGUUCUUGACGCUGAGGCGCGAAAGCUAGGGGAGCAAACGGG
rnacentral:rRNA from 1 species